GAUUUGUUACUGUGAUUGGUUUAAUAAAUAAGCGGACUGGCCUAUAACUGAAGAGGAUAAAGUUAGGUGGGACAGCCAAACUGAGAAUGAUGCGAUGAAGAAAGGUGGAGUCAGAGAAGCUGCCAGCCAGAUGGAGAAUGACUCGGACAUACAAAAUGGGAAAGAGAUGGGGUAAGAUGAGAAAUAUAAAAGGAACUUGGAAGAAGAACAUAUUGCAGUUCUCAAGAAGACAGACAUGCUAAACUGCCCAAGGACACAGGAGGAAGCACCUAGGAAGAUGGUGACACCACAGUCUUCAGUGCUCAGACUUCCAGAUGACAGUGUAACAGAGACUGGUGUUCAUAGAGAGGCGAGAAAGACCCCAGAUUCCUGCCUCUCCAAAGCCCAGCCUCUGCGGCGGCGUAUUUCUAUUUCAUGCUGGUAGAAUGAAGCUAAUUGCAAAUUCUCAGCUGCUGUGAUUCCAAUCUCCAGACUUGUGCUCAAGUUAAAAGAAGAACGAGAGAUGAAGAAAUCUCCACACAAGGGGCUUUUCAAAUCUCUGCUGGAGUCAGGUCAACCAACAUCACUUUGACCAUGUCAAAUUGCUUACCUGAACUCAAAAUCAAGGG